rnacentral:rRNA from 1 species
AGAUGGGCUCGCGUCUGAUUAGAUAGUUGGUGAGGUAACGGCUCACCAAGUCGACGAUCAGUAGCCGGACUGAGAGGUUGAACGGCCACAUUGGGGCUGAGACACGGCCCAGACUCCUACGGGAGGCAGCAGUGGGGAAUAUUGCACAAUGGGGGAAACCCUGAUGCAGCGAUGCCGCGUGGAGGAAGAAGGUUUUCGGAUUGUAAACUCCUUUUAUCAGGGACGAUAAUGACGGUACCUGAAGAAAAAGCUCCGGCUAACUACGUGCCAGCAGCCGCGGUAAUACGUAGGGAGCGAGCGUUGUCCGGAAUUACUGGGUGUAAAGGGAGCGUAGGCGGGACGGCAAGUCAGAUGUGAAAACUGAGGGCUCAACCUUCAGACUGCAUUUGAAACUGCUGUUCUUGAGUGAAGUAGAGGUAAGCGGAAUUCCUAGUGUAGCGGUGAAAUGCGUAGAUAUUAAGAGGAACAUCGGUGGCGAAGGCGGCUUACUGGGCUUUUACUGACGCUGAGGCUCGAAAGCGUGGGGAGCAAACAGGAUUAGAUACCCUGGUAGUCCACGCUGUAAACGAUGA